UACGUAGGGUGCGAGCGUUGUCCGGAAUUACUGGGCGUAAAGAGCUCGUAGGUGGUUUGUCGCGUUGUCCGUGAAAACUCACAACUCAAUUGUGGGCGUGCGGGCGAUACGGGCAGACUGGAGUACUGCAGGGGAGACUGGAAUUCCUGGUGUAGCGGUGGAAUGCGCAGAUAUCAGGAGGAACACCGGUGGCGAAGGCGGGUUGCUGGGCUGACACUGACGCUGAUGCGCGAAGCCAGGGAGCGAACGGG
rnacentral:rRNA from 1 species